AACAAACGCUGGCGGCGUGCCUAAUACAUGCAAGUCGAACGGGGAAAGCUUUCGGGUGAGUACUAGUGGCGCACGGGUGAGUAACGCGUGGAUAAUCUGCCUUAGAGUGGGGGAUAACGAAUCGAAAGAUUCGCUAAUACCGCAUAAGACCACAAGAACUGCGGUUCAAGGGGUCAAAGGUUUUUCGCUCUAAGAUGAGUCCGCGUAAGAUUAGCUAGUUGGUGAGGUAAUGGCUCACCAAGGCAACGAUCUUUAACUGGUCUGAGAGGAUGAUCAGUCACACUGGAACUGAGACACGGUCCAGACUCCUACGGGAGGCAGCAGUAGGGAAUAUUGCACAAUGGAGGAAACUCUGAUGCAGCGACGCCGCGUGAGUGAUGAAGGCCUUCGGGUCGUAAAGCUCUGUCGCAGGGGAAUAACACAAUGAAUGUACCCUGUAAGAAAGGAUCGGCUAACCUCGUGCCAGCCGCCGCAGUAAGAC
rnacentral:rRNA from 1 species